rfam:Sphaerobolus stellatus SS14 unplaced genomic scaffold SPHSTscaffold_89, whole genome shotgun sequence.
AUACGUGUGGUGAAAUGGUAUCAUGCUUGCCUUCCAUUGAGUUUCUAUGCUUAUGAUUUAGCAAGCGGCUCGAGUUCGAUUCCCGGCGUGUGUA